GGGGGCGUACUGGCUUCGACGUGGAUAUGAAACCUGAGGGGCAUGCCGAGGUGCAGAUUGCCUCGUAAAACCUUCUGCAAAACUUAUAGUUGCCAACGAAGACAACUACGCACUAGCAGCUUAAUAACCUGUCAUAGUGCCGUCUGACUGUUGCUGUGCUUGUGCACGACAGACCCGGGCGUCGACUCACACAAGACCGCGAUGAAGCUUGUCCGAGGCAGAUUCGUUAAACUCUUUUCGGAAUCGCUGUCUGCUUUCCCUGCCGUUCGGGUAGCAGAGCGUUAAACUAAUAGAGUCGGCUAAGCAUGUAGAACCAACGGCAGAGGAUUUGCGGACACGGGUUCGAUUCCCGUCGCCUCCACCA
rnacentral:tmRNA from 1 species